UAAAACAGACACCUCUUGCGCAUUUUAGAACUCACCACCAUCAUAUUACGGAAGCCCGCUUAUCAUAUACGCUACCGACGCAUCUUAGAGUACGCCGCCAGAAUGCUGAUCAUUGGUGACGAUGUCCGACCAUCGGUGACGAUGCCCGAUGAAAACCCAAAACCCUGCUUAAGUUUUCCAGAAAGAACUUGUUGGCUUUUUGAAGUCACAUACAUUGGGAGAUGGGGGUCAAUUCGGUGAGGGUAUCACAAGGGUUGUUGAGGAGUUGGUUUUCAACAGCCUCGACGCUGCUGCCACCAAGAGGUGGGCUGCUGAGAAUAUGGCAAGACGUGCUUAUAUGCAGAUUUAAUUGCUUAGACUAGUUGCACAAAAGGCAGUGAACGGUAUCUGUUGCUAUAGGCAUUGAGACCUGCUAUGUGAAGGUGGAUGACAAUGGAUCUGGUGUUUAAUGAGAUGGGUGCUGAUGGGAGAAAAAUAUGCGACAUCAAAAUACAGCCAUUCAGAUGAUAUGCAUGCUUUCCCAGCAAGCUUUGGUUUCAAAGGAGAGGCAGGCUCUGUUUCCUUAUUGGAAAUUGUUACUAAAACUCACGGCAGGCCAAACGGAUAUCGUAAGGUUUUGAAGAUAAGGACUGCAAGUGUUUGUACCUUUUAAUUGAUGAUUGUAGACAAGAUGUUGGUACAAUAGGUAAUUCUAUAUAAGCGGCGUACCUGAUACAAAGAGUUGGCUGCUGUUUGCUAAUAAGGAAAUUUGUUGGGAUUUUUCUUUUUAGUCAUUGUUCAGGAUGUAUUUUACAACCAACCAGUUCGAAGGAAGCAAAUGCACUCCAAGUUACUUCUACUUUUCUUACAAUUCAAACAAAUGAAAAAUACUGAUUUACAUACUUUACUUCUAAUGCUGAACUCUGACCUGAUUGAUCAUUUGGUUUGCGUAUAUAAUCUGGAAGCCCACGGAAGCCCAAAGAAGGCCUUGCAUUCUCUGAAAGAGUCUCUGCUAAGAAUCGCCCUUGUGCAUCCCUGUCUCCUUCAAAAUUGUUGAUAUUGAAAGUUAGGAUGACUUGCUUUGUACAUGUGCUUCUCCUUCUCCGUUGCCGCUAUUAUCCACUAGUCCAGUGAGUUUGGGAUUCAUCUGAGUUCCCUUUAGCAAAUUGAAUGCAAGUGAUGGUUCAUUCAAGCUCUCAGGAUAAGUUGCAGGAUUGGCGUCCCGAUCUUCUCUUUAUUGAGGAUACUGUCGCGAAUCUCAGGACUGGAAGUAACUUUGUCGGUGAGAGCAAUCGUACUCAAGACAAAUUGUGGAAAGCUGGUUAGUGGAAGAGAGAGUUAAUAUAUCAGAUGGUGCAAAGCAUUUCAGUGUUAUGCCAUUAUAUACCUGUGAAUUAUGAGAUCAGGAAAAUGAGGUGCAGGGCCCUGAGUUGCAAAGAGCCACUGAACUUCUUUCCCCAUAGCCAAAGAAACUGUCAGGAGAGUGCAUUCUCCGGAGAGAGAUUUGAUCUGCAUUCUGCACAGAAUAUUCUGUGGGGAAGUGCUUCUGAAAAGCAUGAUCCUGAGUCCAGAUUCCUCUGUCAGAUCGAAAGUUCAAGUCGGUAAAUUAAUUGCUCUCUUGCUCAUUGCAGUCGGUGUGAACUGGAAAUCCCGAAACUCUGCGCACCCCCUUUCAUCUAAUGUUUUACCUACAGAGGAUGAUUUCCAGGAUAACAAAUUCAGUGCUUCAGCUAGCUCCAGUUAUAAAUCAGACUACUUGUUAGGUUCCGGAUGGGAGGAGUCUUAAACAUUUGUAGCUGGCAGAUCAACAAAGGAUGCCUCAUUUAGGGAGUCUCUUGAACUUGAUAACAGUUCAAAUGUGAUCCAUGAGAGAAGGAAACCAUUUAUGCGGAGCUGUUCUUUGCAUAGAAGCCUGAUACAUGAUGGAUCAUCUUUUGAUAGUGAUACAAGGCAUUGCAUAGAAGCCUGAUACAAGGCAUUGCAGAGGUCAAAAUUUCUGUCAGGAGAUUCAGAAAAGUCUUCAUUAACCAAGGACAUUCUAGAUGAAUCUGAUCAUCAUAUGGACUUCUUUAAACAGACUGCUGAAAACUAUGGUUCUGGCCUACCAUCUUUUAGUCCAGAACCGUCUCCUCUGCCACCAGAUCCUUUGCUCGGGACCAGGUUUCAAGAUAUUAAUCCUUACAUUGCUGAAAGUGGGAUUGGAACUUCUGUUAAACAUGAAGUUGGUGUCACGUAUAAUUUUGGAAACAUGGAACACAAUCUCUUGGUUCCUGCCAUUAAUAAUAUGGGAAAAGAGGACUGUUUGUUCCCAAAUUCUGCAAAGUUUGAUCUCGAUUUUUAUGCUUGUUCUAAAGAGGAUAUAGGCAGUAUAGGGGCACUUGAUGCGUGGGACAUUUAUAGUUCAGGUCCUUCUGAAUUCUAUUAUGACGGAGAUGAUUUGUCACAUUUACAUUCUCAUGGUGAAGAAAAUCUUAAUUAUUAUUUGACACCGCGAGCUAUGCUCUUCUCUAGGGUGGAUGGGAACUCGCAUAAAUGGAUUGAUGCUGGAAAUCGAGGUAAACAUAUGAGAUUAUACGGAAAAAGAAGAGUGAAAGAAGUCAUUCAGCUCCUCCAUUUUACCAAGGCAAUAAGAAGUUCUUUGCCACGGCGGAGUCUUCAAGAAUGGCAGCAGGAAAUAACAAUAUUAAGAUUGUUCAUGAUGUGCCACUCAUGCCAGAGUUGUAAGGAGACUGCAACAUUCUGCAGAAGCUAUCUGCUCGGAACUUCCACAGCAGUCAUCCCAUCAAUGUGAUCAGGCUUCCACCCCAGGUUGUUGUGACGGUGUAUUCUCUGAUGAAAGGCCAAGUGUGAAAAUGAAACUAGUCAACAUCUGGAAUAACAGAUUACAAGUUAUAGGGGAGUCAAAAGAAGAAUUUGCUCCAACAAAACUCAAAGUUUCUCAAUUCUGGGACAGAAUGGAGGGACUUCCGUCCAGAGAUCACAUAUGUGAGAUGCAUAGCGAUACUGGAACAGAGAAUCUUAAGAAUCGGGAUACUAUACUCAAUGUCACUUCUGGCUUCUUGCAUUUUGUUGGUGAUUCAUUAGUUCAUGAUACCAUUGAUAAAAACUACCUUGGAGGGUGCCAAAGUUUCAAGAUGAGAAGUUUAUUUCGAUUGUGGCGAACACAACACGUGCUAUAUUGAUCAGGUCCUAUCUGGAGUUUUGGACAAAAGAGGAGAACAACCUAUCUUGAUUCCAAGCAAGAAUUGGUCAUGUCUGAACCAAAUUCAAAAUUGGGGUUCGAUCUUUGUUUAGAUUUUCAGCAAACUCCCAAUCUAUGGAACUUGAUAAAAUUGCCAUUUACCAGAAUUUUUAUUGCACUAACUUUUGCAACAUUCAUUAAAUUUAAACCUCCUAAAUCUGAGUAUGAAGAUUUAUGUUUUGGUUAAAGCAGGAACUUAAAUUUGAUUCACAAGCAGCCAACAUAUGUCACACUUCUUGCGGGUAACAUUCUCUAAUACUUGUCUCUGUCAUAUUAUACAUUCAAAAAGUUAAGUACAUGUAAACCUUUUGCAGAUCAGUCUUAGAAGGUAAAGGUAUUGUAGUACUGAUUGUAGUUGUCAAUACAGGAUUAGUUGCUCACCCACAUUCUCAAACCUUUUACUACAUUUUAUAGCUUAUGCUCUUCAAUAUUCAUAUUCCUCCCUCUGAAGGAUAUAUGCCUGUCUAAAUGUGGAAACAAAGCAUGAAAAUCACUUCUUGUCAGGCUAGUUAUUCCAUUCUGAGGUAUCAAUAACAGUUUAUAUCAGUUUUGUGCGCCAUUUUGUUAAAAGUAAGAAUGAUUUUUGAGGAUUUAAGGUUUUCAAGUGUCAUUUGUGUGCAUGGUCUCUUAAGAUCCUUUUUAUGUUUUAAGUGGUUGAUUAUAGCAAGUGAAUUAUAAAAUGUAACUUAUAAGGGAAGAGAGUUUUUGUCCUAAUCCCAUCAGUAACAAGACAAUGCUAGAGGUUCUCUUUUUUUGAAUUAUAAGUCCUUGAAACUUGAAUAGCUUCCAACUUCAUUUGAAAAGCUAUUCAUGACAUCAUUCUUGUUUUAGGAAAUACUCCACUAGCUAACAAGAUUCUCUUGCACACGUUUCAUAAGAAAAUAAUUGUUUUCUUGAUAAUACAGGUUCCAUGUUAUUUUGUGCGUUAAUCUAAUAAUCCAACAACUCUAACUAGCUCUCAUAUUUUACUCCUUCAUUGAACUCUAAUCUUUCUCAUGGAAUCUUGCUUCUUGCUUAAAUGCCGUGACAUGUUCUCUGAAUAAUGUAUUUGCAACCCAUGGGUCUUGAAUAAACAAGGGUCGCUGGAGCUACCUUGAUGCUCUCACCUCCACCCCCCUAUCCACACACACAAAAACACAUAGGAAAAAGAGAAAGAACAGGGAAUUAAAACCAAAAGUGAUUUAAGAUAUUUUUCUUUAUUCUUGUUUCCUUUGUGUUCAUUUGUGUUGGAACAAUAACUCCGAUAUGGAUAGAGUGGAACAGAUACAGAGGAAUGAGGAUCAAUAUAGCAGGCCAACUAAUUUUGGAGGUGAACAUAAUUGAUGGAUUGUUUCCUGGUGGUUCUAUUCUAUUUAUUUAGUUUCGUAGGUGCAAUUAUGUUUGGAGAUGCAUUGUUGCCUUCAGAAUGUUCUAACAUUGUUAAGGAGUUGAAGCAGACUUCAUUGUGCAGCAAAGCAACUAAGAUCAGUCGUAUCCUAGUGUUAAAAAGCUCUCUUGACUCGUGAGUAUACCUAAUUAUCAGUCGUAUCCUAGUGUUAAAAAGCUCUCUUGACUCGUGAGUAUACCUAAUUAUUAGUCGUAUCCUAGUGUUAAAAAGCUCUCUUGACUCGUGAGUAUACCUAAUUUUGUUCUGCUUGCUACCUACCAAGCAGUAAUUUUGCGCUGAAGAUAUCCAGUCUGUGACCACCACAUUGAAGGAUAAUCAGGAUCUGGAGCACGUUACAUCUAAUACAGAUUCAACAAAUAAAUUCUACUAUAUAGAAGUUUGAUUUGCAGGUACAAAUUACUCAUGUUUAUAGAAGCUCGAUUUGUCGGGCGUAGAAAUGCUCAUCUGUCACGACUCGGGCCUAUGGCCUAGACGUGACACUGCGAAUGAGACACCGGAGGUGCUUCACCCAAGCCUCUUAGCAUUCGUUAAGCAUUUCAUUGGUAAUGGCACACGAUAACAAG